rnacentral:rRNA from 1 species
ACAGCCGCCGCGGUAAUACAGAGGUCCCGAGCGUUGUUCGGAUUCACUGGGCGUAAAGGGUGCGUAGGUGGUGAGGUAAGUCGGAUGUGAAAUCUCGGAGCUCAACUCCGAAAUGGCAUUGGAAACUACCUCGCUCGAGGAAUGGAGGGGGGACUGGAAUUCUCGGUGUAGCAGUGAAAUGCGUAGAUAUCGAGAGGAACACCAGUGGCGAAGGCGAGUCCCUGGACAUCUCCUGACACUGAGGCACGAAAGCUAGGGGAGCAAACAGGAUUAGAUACCCUGGUAGUCCUAGCCGUAAACGGUGCAUGCUUGCUGUAAAAGGAAUCGACCCCUUUUGUGGCGGAGCCAACGCGUUAAGCAUGCCGCCUGGGAAGUACGGUCGCAAGAUUAAAACUCAAAUAAAUUGACGG